rfam:Echinostoma caproni strain Egypt genome assembly, scaffold: ECPE_contig0000141
GGCCUCGUAGCUCAGCUGGUAGAGCAUGCGCUUUCAAAGCGUAGGCCGUGUCCAUGCGUGGGUUCGAAUGCAACCGAGGCUA